UACGGGGGGGGCAAGCGUUGUUCGGAAUUACUGGGCGUAAAGGGCUCGUAGGCGGCCAACUAAGUCAGACGUGAAAUCCCCCGGCUUAACCGGGGAACUGCGUCUGAUACUGGAUGGCUCGAGUUUGGGAGAGGGAUGCGGAAUUCCAGGUGUAGCGGUGAAAUGCGUAGAUAUCUGGAGGAACACCGGUGGCGAAGGCGGCAUCCUGGACCAACACUAACGCUGAGGAGCGAAAGCCAGGGGAGCAAACGGG
rnacentral:rRNA from 1 species